UUAGAACAUUGCAGGACGCAGACGCGGA
rnacentral:sRNA from 1 species